rnacentral:rRNA from 1 species
UACGGGGGGGGCAAGCGUUGUUCGGAAUUACUGGGCGUAAAGGGCUCGUAGGCGGCCAACUAAGUCAUACGUGAAAUCCCUCGGCUUAACCGGGGAACUGCGUCUGAUACUGGAUGGCUUGAGAUUGGGAGAGGGAUGCGGAAUUCCAGGUGUAGCGGUGAAAUGCGUAGAUAUCUGGAGGAACACCGGUGGCGAAGGCGAGUCUCUGGACGACUCCUGACACUGAGGCACGAAAGCUAGGGGAGCAAACAGG